ACUGGCGGGACUGCGCGGAGGCGACUACAGACAUGUCAGGGGUACGGGGCCUGUCGCGGUUGCCAAGCGCUCGGCGCUUGGCGCUGGCCAAGGCGUGGCCAACAGUGUUGCAAACAGGAACCCGAGGUGUUCACUUCACUGUUGAAGGAACGAGAGGGCAUCUGCUGAAGUUUCAGAUUCCAUUUCUGCUCAGUAGUGGAUCAUGAAUUUGAUGCAGUGAUGGUAGGCGCUAGAAGGGCAGGCUUGCGAGCUGCAUUUGGCCUUUCCGAGGCAGAGUUUGAUACAGCAUGUGUUACCAAGCUGUUUCCUACCAGGUCACACACUGUUGCAGCGCAGGGAGGAAUCAAUGCUGCUCUGGGGAACAUGGAGGAGGACAACUGGAGGUGGCAUUUCUACGACACCGUGAAGGGCUCCGACUGGCUGGGGGACCAGGAUGCCAUCCACUACGUGACGGAGCAGGCCCCCACUGCCAUGGUCGAGGUGAUGGGCGGGAGGCUCUGGGUGCUCUCGUGGUCUGUUUCUAGUACAAGAGUCCUGGAAAAAAUGUAGAAAAUUAUGGCAUGCCGUUU
rnacentral:lncRNA from 1 species